GAUGAAGAACGCAGCGAAAUGCGAUAAGUAAUGUGAAUUGCAGAAUUCAGUGAAUCAUCGAAUCUUUGAACGCGCAUUGCGCCCCUUGGUAUUCCGGGGGGCAUGCCUGUUCGAGCGUCAUUUCAACCCUCAAGCUCUGCUUGGUAUUGGGCCCGGUGGGCGAUUGCCUACCAGCCUUAAAGAGAGUGGCGGUGCCCCGCGGCCCUGAGCGUAGUAACUACUCCCGCUAUAGGUGUCCACGGGCUCACCAGCCAGCAACCCCAACUUUCUAUGGUUGACCUCGGAUCAGGUAGGGAUACCCGCUGAACUUAAGCAUAUCAAUAAGCGGAGGA
rnacentral:misc_RNA from 1 species